ensembl:lncRNA
AGCCAAUAGGAGCUCAGAGAGAGACCAGAGAGAUAUCCCCCCUUCACUGGUACAGCUGACUGAACUACUGGGGGACAAAGUGAACACACUCUGAAAGACUGUCUCACUAGACGAACAGCCUGAAAGAGGUUCAACAACAUCUGGAGCACCUGAGCUGAGUGACUUGGCAGGCCAGAGGAACGAGGUUGAGACACUCCUGAACUAAGUGACUUGGCAGGCCAGAGGAACGAGGUUGAGACACUCCUGAACUAAGUGACUUGGCAGGCCAGAGAAACGAGGUUGAGACGCUCCUGAGCUGAGUGACUUGGCAGGCCAGAGGAACGAGGUUGAGACGCUCCUGAGCUGAGUGACUUGGCAGGCCAGAGGAACGAGGUUGAGACGCUCCUGAGCUGAGUGACUUGGCAGGCCAGAGAAACGAGGUUGAGACGCUCC